UACGUAGGGACCAAGCGUUGUUCGGAUUUACUGGGCGUGAAGGGCGCGUAGGCGGCAUGACAAGUCACUUGUGAAAUCUCUGGGCUUAACCCAGAACGGCCAAGUGAUACUGUCGCGCUAGAGUGCGGAAGGGGCAAUCGGAAUUCUCGGUGUAGCGGUGAAAUGCGUAGAUAUCGAGAGGAACACCUGAGGUGAAGACGGGUUGCUGGGCCGACACUGACGCUGAGUGCGCGAAAGCCAGGGGAGCAAACGGG
rnacentral:rRNA from 1 species